UCAACUCCUACGGGAGGCAGCAGUGAGGAAUAUUGGUCAAUGGGCGAGAGCCUGAACCAGCCAAGUAGCGUGCAGGAWGACGGCCCUAUGGGUUGUAAACUGCUUUUAUACGGGAAUAAAGUGAGCCACGUGUGGUUUUUUGCAUGUACCCUAUGAAUAAGGACCGGCUAAUUCCGUGCCAGCGAGCCGCGGUAAUA
rnacentral:rRNA from 1 species